rnacentral:lncRNA from 1 species
GAGCUUAAAUGUAUGCGAUGAAAAGGUUCAAGUUUGGGGUUGUAUGAGGGAAAAUUGAGAAGAGCAAAUGAAAAGCAUUGAGCUCGAAUGUUGUGAAAAGAAAAAUUCAUGAGAAAAAGAAAAGAAAAGAAGAAAAGCAUGAAGAGGAGCUCAAUGAAAAAGAAAAAGGGAAAAAGCGGGGAAUAAGUGAGAUUGGUGAGGAAGAGAGUUGUGCUUAAAUUGUUGAAUAUUUUGAAAGCUCUCUUAACUCAAGGACUUUGUAUUCCGGAAAAACCAAUUUUUCUUGUUAGCUCAACCUCAUUACAAGCCUUGAAAAAGUCCUUUUGAUGGCAUGUACAUGUA